rnacentral:rRNA from 1 species
AGUGAACGCUGGCGGUAGGCCUAACACAUGCAAGUCGAACGGCAGCACAGUAAGAGCUUGCUCUUACGGGUGGCGAGUGGCGGACGGGUGAGGAAUACAUCGGAAUCUACUUUUUCGUGGGGGAUAACGUAGGGAAACUUACGCUAAUACCGCAUACGACCUACGGGUGAAAGCAGGGGAUCUUCGGACCUUGCGCGAUUGAAUGAGCCGAUGUCGGAUUAGCUAGUUGGCGGGGUAAAGGCCCACCAAGGCGACGAUCCGCAGCUGGUAUGAGAGGAUGAUCCGCCACCCUGGAACUGACACACGGUCCAGACUCCUCCGUGAGGCCGCAGUGGCGAAUAUUGGACCAUGGGCGCAAUCCUGAUCCAGCCCUACCGCGUGGGUGAAGGAGGCCUUCGGGUUGUAAAGCCCUUUUUUUGGGAAAGAACAGCAGCAGGUUAAUACCCCGCUGUUCUGACGGUACCCAAAGAAUAAGCACCGCCUAACUUCGUG